AUUGAACGCUGGCGGCAGGCCUAACCCAUGCAAGUCGAGCGAGCGGCGGACGGGUGAGUAAUGUAUGGGUCCUGCCCGAUAGAGGGGGAUAACUCCUGGAAACGGUAGCUAAUUCCGCAUACUAUCGGAUGAUCCCUAUGGGAGUAGCUAGUUGGUUGGGUAAUGGCUAACCAAGGAGACCAUCCCGAGCUGGUCUGAGAGGAUGAUCAGCCACACUGGGACUUAGACACGGCCCAGACUCCUACGGAGGCAGCAGUGGGGAAGAGUGCACAAUGGGCGCAAGCCUGAUGCAGCGAUGCCGCGUGUAUGAAGAAGGCCCUAGGGUUGUAAAGUACUUUCAGUCGGGAGGCGUUACCGACAGAAGAAGCACCGGCUAACUCCGUGCCAGCAGCCGCGGUAAUAC
rnacentral:rRNA from 1 species